rnacentral:rRNA from 1 species
GGAAUUUUGGACAAUGGGGGCAACCCUGAUCCAGCCAUUCCGCGUGAGUGAAGAAGGCCUUCGGGUUGUAAAGCUCUUUCAGCUGGAACGAAACGGUAGUCUCUAACAUAGGCUGCUAAUGACGGUACCAGCAGAAGAAGCACCGGCUAACUACGUGCCAGCAGCCGCGGUAAUACGUAGGGUGCGAGCGUUAAUCGGAAUUACUGGGCGUAAAGCGUGCGCAGGCGGAUUGUUAAGCCAGAUGUGAAAUCCCCGGGCUUAACCUGGGAAUGGCAUUUUGAACUGGCAAUCUAGAGUGUGUCAGAGGGGGGUAGAAUUCCACGUGUAGCAGUGAAAUGCGUAGAGAUGUGGAGGAAUACCGAUGGCGAAGGCAGCCCCCUGGGAUAACACUGACGCUCAUGUACGAAAGCGUGGGUAGCAAACAG